rnacentral:misc_RNA from 1 species
UUCGAGCGUCAUUACAACCCUCAAGCACUGCUUGGUAUUGGACCCUAAUCCUUCACGGGUUGGUCUCAAAAACAUUGGCGGUGCCAGCGUAAACUUGGAGCGUAGUAAUUUUAUUUCGUUUUUUCAAGAACUCUGAGCACUUGCGUUAUACAAUUUUACUGGUUGACCUCGGAUCAGGUAAGGAUACCCGCUGAACUUAA